CGUCUAUCGAACAUGAGAAAUGAGAUUGUGUCAAGACAGGUCUCUAGAUUAGAAGAUGUUCCACAUCAUCUGAUGAUGUCUCCAUCAAUGUCAUUGAAACAUGAUCCUAAUCCUUCUGGGGAGCUGCUACUAAUGCAGAAACUAGAGGAAGUUGGAAGCUCUGUCAAGAGAAUUCAAUCUUUAUUUGAGGAGCAACAAUCUCAAAUAAUAGAGUCCAUAGAUUGAGGUUUGUGAAUUUGAUGUAAAAAUAAAAUCCCUAUA